rnacentral:rRNA from 1 species
CGGUGAAUACGUUCCCGGACCUGCACACACCGCCCGUCAAGCCAUGGAAGCUGGGUGUACCUAAAGUCGGUAACCGUAAGGAGCCGCCUAGGGUAAAACUAGUGACUGGGGCU